CGGCGGCGGCUGGGGGCGGUGAGCGCGGCGUGGGGCUGCCCCUCCCCGGAGGCGGCGGGGGCGGCCGGGGCCGCGCCGCACCGCACCGCGCGGGCGGCCAUGGAGCGAGCCUAGGGCCCGGCAGAGUCUUCACAGCAUCUUCACCAGGAGUAGAAUCCACCUCAAGAAACCACUUCUUUGCUCGUCUGUUAGAAGCAGCUCCUCGUCCGUUCAAGUUCUGUCCUGAGAUUGCAGCGAUUCGGUCCCACCUGCAGGCUGCACUUCUAGUUCUGCUUCUCUUGCUGUUUCCACCGCGUCUGCAGUAUCCUCCAGUGAAGUCUUGAACCCUCAACAUCAUCCAUGAGGAUUGGAGUCACCUUCCAAACUCAUGUCACUAUUGAUAUUUUGACCUCUUCUCGAUGUGGUGACUAAUGACAAAUGUGGGAGCCUGCUCAGCCUCUUCUUUAAACUUGCCCUCACUACUAAUCUGCGGAGAUAAAUAGGGAAAUACAGUAACAGUUGAACUCUGCAGUUCGCUUAAUACAAAUUGGUGUCCUAGUUGAGAGGAUGAAUUGUUGCAGCUCUGAAUUGAUGUCUUCUUCAAAAGGUAUUGAAAUUUCAGAACUUAAAAGCACACAAACUCAGAUUGCAGAAUUGGACCGUUUUGUCUGAAUUUUGGAGUUGCUAGAACUUCCUAUUGCAUUGGUGAUUUUUAAAGAAACCCUCAAUAUCCCUAAUCUUUAUGCUAAAUGUUUAGAUAUGAUAUGUUUAUAUAGCAUGAGGC
rnacentral:lncRNA from 1 species